rnacentral:rRNA from 1 species
UGGGGAAUAUUGGACAAUGGGCGCAAGCCUGAUCCAGCCAUGCCGCGUGAGUGAUGAAGGCCUUAGGGUUGUAAAGCUCUUUCACCCACGACGAUAAUGACGGUAGUGGGAGAAGAAGCCCCGGCUAACUUCGUGCCAGCAGCCGCGGUAAUACGAAGGGGGCUAGCGUUGCUCGGAAUCACUGGGCGUAAAGGGCGCGUAGGCGGCCGAUCAAGUCAGGGGUGAAAGCCUGUGGCUCAACCACAGAAUUGCCUUUGAUACUGUUCGGCUCGAGACCGGAAGAGGUUGGUGGAACUGCGAGUGUAGAGGUGAAAUUCGUAGAUAUUCGCAAGAACACCAGUGGCGAAGGCGGCCAACUGGUCCGGUUCUGACGCUGAGGCGCGAAAGCGUGGGGAGCAAACAGGAUUAGAUACCAUGGUAGUCCACGCCGUAAACGAUGAAUGCCAGCCGUUGGGCAGCUUGCUGCUCAGUGGCGCAGCUAACGC